UGGCGGACGGGUGAGUAACGCGUGGGUAACCUGCCUUACACAGGGGGAUAACACCUGGAAACAGGUGCUAAUACCGCAUAAGCGCACAGGGCCGCAUGGCCCGGUGUGAAAAACUCCGGUGGUGUAAGAUGGACCCGCGUCUGAUUAGCUGGUUGGCAGGGUAACGGCCUACCAAGGCGACGAUCAGUAGCCGGCCUGAGAGGGUGGACGGCCACAUUGGGACUGAGACACGGCCCAGACUCCUACGGAAGGCAGCAG
rnacentral:rRNA from 1 species